AACUAACAAGGAUUCCCCUAGUAACUGCGAGUGAAGCGGGAAAAGCUCAAAUUUAAAAUCUGGUGGUCUUUUGAUCAUCCGAGUUGUAAUCUAGAGAAGUGUUAUCCGCGCUGGACCGUGUACAAGUCUCCUGGAAUGGAGCGUCAUAGAGGGUGAGAAUCCCGUCUUUGACACGGACUGCCAGGGCUUUGUGAUGCGCUCUCAAAGAGUCGAGUUGUUUGGGAAUGCAGCUCAAAAUGGGUGGUAAAUUCCAUCUAAAGCUAAAUAUUGGCGAGAGACCGAUAGCGAACAAGUACCGUGAGGGAAAGAAGAAAAGAACUUUGGAAAGAGAGUUAAACAGUACGUGAAAUUGCUGAAAGGGAAACGCUUGAAGUCAGUCGCGUUGGCCAGGGAUCAACCUUGCUUUUUUUGCUUGGCUUACUUCCUGGUUGACGGGUCAACAUCAAUUUUGAUCGGUGGAAUAAAGGCUAGGAAAUGUGGCAUCUUCGGAGGUGUUAUAGUCCUUGGUCGCAUACAUCGGUUGGGAUUGAGGAACUCAGCACGCCGCAAGGCCGGGUUUUUAACCACGUACGUGGUUAGGAUGUUGGCAUAAUGGCUUUAAUCGACCCGUCUUGAAACACGGACCAAGGAGUCUAACAUGCCUGCGAGUGUUUGGGUGGAAAACCCGAGCGCGUAAUGAAAGUGAAAGUUGAGAUCCCUGUCGUGGGGAGCAUCGACGCCCGGACUUGACGUUUUCUGACGGUCCCGCGGUAGAGCAUGUAUGUUGGGACCCGAAAGAUGGUGAACUAUGCCUGAAUAGGGUGAAGCCAGAGGAAACUCUGGUGGAGGCUCGUAGCGAUUCUGACGUGCAAAUCGAUCGUCAAAUUUGGGUAUAGGGGCGAAAGACUAAUCGAACCAUCUAGUAGCUGGUC
rnacentral:rRNA from 1 species